GACGGAGGGGGCUAGCGUUGUUCGGAAUUACUGGGCGUAAAGAGCGCGUAGGCGGUCUGGUAAGUUGGAAGUGAAAGCCCGAGGCUUAACCUCGGAAUUGCUUUCAAAACUGCUGAACUAGAGUGUAGUAGGGGAUGAUGGAAUUCCUAGUGUAGAGGUGAAAUUCUUAGAUAUUAGGAGGAACACCGGUGGCGAAGGCGGUCAUCUGGGCUACAACUGACGCUGAGGCGCGAAAGCGUGGGGAGCAAACAGG
rnacentral:rRNA from 1 species